AUGAAAAAUUCCAUAUAUUGAUACUAUUAUUAACCAACUAUAAGGCAACUUCAAUCAAGUCCAUUCAAGAACAGUCUUCGAGUCUUGAUCCAAAUACAGCUGUUAAACCAUGAAUUUAUAACAGGACCAAUACAGAAAAUGCCAGUUCAUAACACUUUUAGUAAAAGGUUUUAAUUCUUCGAUUAAACAAAGAGUAAGAAUCUUACCGUAAAGAAGAUACAUCAUACAGGAA
rnacentral:lncRNA from 1 species